GAUGAACGCUGGCGGCGUGCCUAAUACAUGCAAGUCGAGCGAACGGACGAGAAGCUUGCUUCUCUGAUGUUAGCGACGGACGGGUGAGUAACACGUGGAUAACCUACCUAUAAGACUGGGAUAACUUCGGGAAACCGGAGCUAAUACCGGAUAAUAUUUUGAACCGCAUGGUUCAAAAGUGAAAGACGGUCUUGCUGUCACUUAUAGAUGGAUCCGCGCUGCAUUAGCUAGUUGGUAAGGUAAAGGCUUACCAAGGCAACGAGGCAUAGCCGACCUGAGAGGGUGAUCGGCCACAUGGGAGCGUAAACACGGUCCUGACUCCUACGGGAGGCAGCAGUAGGGAAUCUUCCGCAAUGGUCGAAAGCCUUACGGAGCAACGCCGCGUGAGUGAUGAAGGUCUUCGGAGCGUAAAACUCUGUUAUUAGGGAAGAACAUAUAUGGAAGGAACUGUGCACAUCUUGACGGUACCUAAUCAGAAAGCCACGGCUAACUACGUG
rnacentral:rRNA from 1 species